GCGCCGGCUGCGGGUAGAUAUGGAGCUGCUAUUGGGGACGCCGCCGUAGUGGGCGGGGUUUACCACAUAUCACGAGAUAGUUUCCCGGCUGCAAGAUAUUGGAGCCCUGUUUACUACUGGCAGUAUGGGCAAAAAGAUGUCUUCCCGAAACCGCGAGGUAUGCAGUACAGGGCAGAGGAGACGCUGGUUACCAGGGCAAGAAAAUAAAGCUGAGCAUGUGCUAGAGCAGAGAAAAAAUCCCAUACUCAAUGUUGAGUUUCAAGGCCGGUGGAGGCUCCUACUAUAGCUCAGCAGCAGAAUAAGACAUCAACUUGUCUCUCAUGAUGACUCUGAAAUGUUGAACAUGAUUUCUCCCCCAGUGGAAGGCUUAGAGCAAGCUUCUCCCUUCCUUCUGAAGGGUCUUCGAUUUUUAUUUUCAAAGACACCCUAAACACCACCAGUCAGAACAUGCAGAGAGUGCUCCAGGUGAAUACUAGAUACUACCACCAUUAUCUGAGUGCAACUUACUUUUCACUGCACCAGCCUAAGGAUUGUGGGAAUUCUCGUGAAAACACUCCAGCCAACUGUGACCCAGACUGUGACCAAAUUCGGAAAGCCUUAUUCCCCCCAGUUCCCGUGUUUAUUUUAUCUGUAUCCCCUAUGGCUGCUGUUAUAAUAAGUUGUAUAAUUGUCAGAAAUAGUGUUUCUCUAUAGAAAUAAAGAAGCUUAUCCUGAA